rnacentral:rRNA from 1 species
GUCUUUUUGAGUUAUUUUUAAAGUCUGACCUGCCCACUGAAUUUUUAAAUGGCCGCAGUAUUCUAACUGUGCAAAGGUAGCAUAAUCAUUAGUCUUUUAAUUGAAGGCUGGUAUGAAUGGUUGGACGAGGUAUAAGCUGUUUCAUAUAAAUUUAUAAUAGAAUUUUAUAUUUUAGUUAAAAAGCUAAAAUGUGAUUAAAAGACGAGAAGACCCUAUAAAUCUUUAUAUUUUAGAUAAUUUAAAUUUUUUGGUUGUAUUUUAUUUUUAUUGUAUAAAAUAUUUUGUUGGGGUGAUAUUAAAAUUUGAUGAACUUUUAAUUAUUUUCAAUCAUUAAUUUAUGAUUUAUUGAUCCAUUAAUAGUGAUUAUAAGAUUAAGUUACUUUAGGGAUAACAGCGUAAUUUUUUUGGAGAGUUCAUAUCGAUAAAAAAGUUUGCGACCUCGAUGUUGGAUUAAGAUAUAAUUUUAGGUGUAGCCGCUUAAAUGUUAAGUCUGUUCGACUUUUAAAUUCUU